CGACGGUGAGGGAUGAAAGCUGGGGGAGCAAACCGGAUUAGAUACCCGGGUAGUCCCAGCUGUAAACUAUGCAAACUCAGUGAUGCAUUGGCUUGUGGCCAAUGCAGUGCUGCAGGGAAGCCGUUAAGUUUGCCGCCUGGGAAGUACGUACGCAAGUAUGAAACUUAAAGGAAUUGGCGGGGGAGCACCACAAGGGGUGAAGCCUGCGGUUCAAUUGGAGUCAACGCCAGAAAUCUUACCCGGAGAGACAGCAGAAUGAAGGUCAAGCUGAAGACUUUACCAGACAAGCUGAGAGGUGAUGCAUGGCCGUCGCCAGCUCGUGCCGUGAGAUGUCCUGUUAAGUCAGGUAACGAGCGAGAUCCCUGCCUCUAGUUGCCACCAUUACUCUCAGGAGUAGUGGGGCGAAUUAGCGGGACCGCCGCAGUUAAUGCGGAGGAAGGAAGGGGCCACGGCAGGUCAGUAUGCCCCGAAACUCUGGGGCCACACGCGGGCUGCAAUGGUAACGACAAUUGGUUUCGAAUCCGAAAGGAUGAGGUAAUCCUCAAACGUUACCACAGUUAUGACUGAGGGCUGCAACUCGCCCUCACGAAUAUGGAAUCCCUAGUAACUGCGUGUCAUUAUCGCGCGGUGAAUACGUCCCUGCUCCUUGCACACACCGCCCGU
rnacentral:rRNA from 1 species